AAAAUCCAUCAGCACUGAGAGUGUGAAGAUGACAGUAUCGUUCUGUGAUAAAUGUGCAAUAAUUCUAAUGCAUGGUACUUAUUUAGGAGCCCUGUUGAAGACCAGAAUGCUGUGUAUGCAACAGUAAAUGACUCAUUGAUAGCAACUGGUGUCCAGCAUCCGCCUGGAGAUUACAGAAUCCCUCCUUUGACAAGACACAGAUGGCAUGUGAAAGAUUGACCAGCAGAUUCUGACUCAACAUACAUGAACGUGAAAGAUUCUCCAGCAGAUUCUGAUUCAACAUAUAUGACAAUGAAGUAUCUGGAUCAUUCUCAUUACAAUGAGCUUAAAGGCCCUAAACAAACUCCUGGAACCUAACAUACAGAAACAAUCCUUCCGUAGGAUGCCUGGGUCCUGGAACAUAAAGAUUAACAGAUACUGACUGCAAGACACUCUUCCCAGACCAUGCACACUCAUUGAGAGAGAUUGUAAAUAGUUGAGGCUUCAGCACUGACCCUGUGACAAUCUGUGAUGUUUACCUUGUCUAGCCUAAUGUAACUCCCUCUGGGCACUUUGGAGUGGGCAAUAAAUGCUGCCUACCUAGUGAUGCCCAAUAACCAGGAACAAAUCAAAGGAAAACUUCACGAGUUAUACGCAAAAAGGAUUUAUCUAUCGCGUUCUUUGUUUCCUUUUGUGAAUCCACCCUCUAUUCAUGAUAAUGUGAUCCUCCCUUCAACAUGAACUCUUUUGUAUGGCAUAAUCUUUGAUGUGCUUUCAUAAUACAAAUGUAACACAUCGACAGAUCACCCUUUCUCCACAUUGCUUGUUAUUUUGUCAACAAGAUAAUCAAUGAGUCAAACACAUUUUCACUUUCACAAAACCACAGUGACUCUGCCUGUCUACAUUGAGAUUUCGAAGUCUCUUGCCAUAACAGCCUUGGUAAUGGAUUCCAGCAAUUUCCCCCAGCAGACAUCAGGCUAACACCUUUUAUUAUUUUCUUACUGGCUUGAAGGGGAACUUGCAGGUGUGGUAUUUCCAUGUAUCUGCUCCUCUUGUCCUUCUAGAUGCAAGUGGUCAUGUGUUUGUCAGGUACUGUCUGAGGAUAUUCAGUAAAUUUCUGCAGCCCAUCUUGUAGAAGAUAGGCACUUGCUGCUGCUGAGCAUCAGUGGUGGACAAAGUGAAUGCUUGUGGAUGUGGUGCCAAUCAAACAGGCUGCUUUGUCCUGGAUGGCGUCAAGCUUCUUGAGUGUUGUUGGGAUGUUUAAAGAAAUGUUGUGUUGUAGAUCACAGGGCCCAGACGGCAAUGGGUGACAGUUCCUCACAACCUCUGCAACUGGACAGUGUUAUAGUCUGUGUGAACUGUCCUGUGUCUGUAAUUGUAUAAUGUCUGGCCCCUUGUUUCUGCUUCUCAUUGAAGAUAACAACUGUAUUUCUUGAAAUGUUCAAUAUUCAGAUUGAAUAUGAAUCUCACUCUUUGCCACAUAAAUAAUACUUCUAAUUGA